rnacentral:rRNA from 1 species
CCUACGGGUGGCAGCAGUGGGGAAUAUUGGACAAUGGGGGCAACCCUGAUCCAGCCAUGCCGCGUGUGUGAAGAAGGCCCUCGGGUUGUAAAGCACUUUCAGUGAGGAAGAACGCCUGGUGGUUAAUACCCAUCAGGAAAGACAUCACUCACAGAAGAAGCACCGGCUAACUCCGUGCCAGCAGCCGCGGUAAUACGGAGGGUGCGAGCGUUAAUCGGAAUUACUGGGCGUAAAGCGCGCGUAGGUGGCUUGAUAAGCCGGUUGUGAAAGCCCCGGGCUCAACCUGGGAACGGCAUCCGGAACUGUCAAGCUAGAGUGCAGGAGAGGAAGGUAGAAUUCCCGGUGUAGCGGUGAAAUGCGUAGCGAUCGGGAGGAAUACCAGUGGCGAAGGCGGCCUUCUGGACUGACACUGACACUGAGGUGCGAAAGCGUGGGUAGCAAACAGGAUUAGAUACCCUAGUAGUC